rnacentral:rRNA from 1 species
GAUUAUGACUAUUCCAUCUUGAACUCAACCUGAUCUUCUUUGCUGGAUCUCCUCAAAGCUGGGUCAGCCUCCUUUGUACUGUGAUGGGAGACCAUCUGGGAAUCUGGGUGCUGUAGGCC